CUCAGUAUAUCUCAAUAGUAGAGUACUUCUUUAGAAUGCACAAUGUUUUGGGUUCUAUUCCCAGUACUGAAA
rnacentral:tRNA from 1 species